rnacentral:rRNA from 1 species
GACAGAGGGUGCAAACGUUGUUCGGAAUUACUGGGCGUAAAGCGCGUGUAGGCUGCUUCGCAAGUCGGAUGUGAAAGCCCCUGGGCCUCAACCCAGGAAGUGCAUUCGAAACUGCAGAGCUGGAGUCCUGGAGAGGAAGGCGGAAUUCUCGGUGUAGAGGUGAAAUUCGUAGAUAUCGAGAGGAACACCGGUGGCGAUGGCGGCCUUCUGGACAGUGA